GUGGAACAAAUCUCUACCUAUAUCGAUGUUAAUAUCAUAAAAGAAGACACUUGAUUUGUAAAAUUACGGUAUAAGGAUUUUGUUUUGGUUUUGACCUUUUCUUCCAUGUCUUUGUUUUUAUGGAGUGAGAAUGUCCAGUAUGUUGUAAUACUGUGAAUGUUAUUAGCUCACCUGAACGAGUUUUCUGGUGACUGUUUGUCUGCGUUCUGUUGACUUGUCCUACUUCUGAAUAUUUUUGAAAAUUGACACCGUAUCCCAUGGCACAGUGGUGCCUUACCUUAGAUAUUGCACUAUUUGGGCAAUUUUAUCAAAGGAUGACUAUAGCCUGUGUAAUAUACAAUAUUCAUUUUCAAAACUUUUUGUGGUCUUAAGGGGGCUGUAGAAGUGGUCCAAUUUUGUCUGAUUAGUGUUGUGUAUUGUAUCUCAGGUGAGCAUUGUGACUUGAGGACCUUUUGUUCCUUAAAAAAGUGCAAUGAUAUUUGGAGUGUUUUGUUAUUGAAAAUCAUUAAAAAGAAACUUGCAAAAU
rnacentral:misc_RNA from 1 species